rnacentral:rRNA from 1 species
AGUGAACGCUGGCGGUAGGCCUAACACAUGCAAGUCGAACGGCAGCACGGUAAGAGCUUGCUCUUACGGGUGGCGAGUGGCGGACGGGUGAGGAAUACAUCGGAAUCUACUUUUUCGUGGGGGAUAACGUAGGGAAACUUACGCUAAUACCGCAUACGACCUACGGGUGAAAGCAGGGGAUCUUCGGACCUUGCGCGAUUGAAUGAGCCGAUGUCGGAUUAGCUAGUUGGCGGGGGAAAGGCCCACCAAGGCGACGAUCCGUAGCUGGUCUGAGAGGACGAUCAGCCACACUGGAACUGAGACACGGUCCAGACUCCUACGGGAGGCAGCAGUGGGGAAUAUUGGACAAUGGGCGCAAGCCUGAUCCAGCCAUACCGCGUGGGUGAAGAAGGCCUUCGGGUUGUAAAGCCCUUUUGUUGGGAAAGAAAAGCAGCAGGUUAAUACCCCGCUGUUCUGACGGUACCCAAAGAAUAAGCACCGGCUAACUUCGUG